GAUGAACGCUGGCGGCGUGCCUAAUACAUGCAAGUCGAGCGAACAGAUGAGGAGCUUGCUCCUCUGACGUUAGCGGCGGACGGGUGAGUAACACGUGGAUAACCUACCUAUAAGACUGGGAUAACUUCGGGAAACCGGAGCUAAUACCGGAUAAUAUAUUGAACCGCAUGGUUCAAUAGUGAAAGACGGUUUUGCUGUCACUUAUAGAUGGAUCCGCGCCGCAUUAGCUAGUUGGUAAGGUAACGGCUUACCAAGGCAACGAUGCGUAGCCGACCUGAGAGGGUGAUCGGCCACACUGGAACUGAGACACGGUCCAGACUCCUAAGGGAGGCAGCAGUAGGGAAUCUUCCGCAAUGGGCGAAAGCCUGACGGAGCAAAGCCGCGUGAGUGAUGAAGGUCUUCGGAUCGUAAAACUCUGUUAUUAGGGAAGAACAAAUGUGUAAGUAACUAUGCACGUCUUGACGGUACCUAAUCAGAAAGCCACGGCUAACUACGUG
rnacentral:rRNA from 1 species